AGAGUUUGAUCCUGGCUCAGGAUGAACGCUGACAGAAUGCUUAACACAUGCAAGUCAACUUGAACUUCGGUUUGGGUGGCGGACGGGUGAGUAACGCGUAAAGAACUUGCCUCACAGCUAGGGACAACAUUUGGAAACGAAUGCUAAUACCUGAUAUUAUGAUUUUAGGGCAUCCUAAGAUUAUGAAAGCUAUAUGCGCUGUGAGAGAGCUUUGCGUCCCAUUAGCUAGUUGGAGAGGUAACGGCUCACCAAGGCGAUGAUGGGUAGCCGGCCUGAGAGGGUGAACGGCCACAAGGGGACUGAGACACGGCCCUUACUCCUACGGGAGGCAGCAGUGGGGAAUAUUGGACAAUGGACCAAAAGUCUGAUCCAGCAAUUCUGUGUGCACGAUGACGUUUUUCGGAAUGUAAAGUGCUUUCAGUUGGGAAGAAAAAAAUGACGGUACCAACAGAAGAAGUGACGGCUAAAUACGUGCCAGCAGCCGCGGUAAUACGUAUGUCACAAGCGUUAUCCGGAUUUAUUGGGCGUAAAGCGCGUCUAGGUGGUUAUGUAAGUCUGAUGUGAAAAUGCAGGGCUCAACUCUGUAUUGCGUUGGAAACUGCAUGACUAGAGUACUGGAGAGGUAAGCGGAACUACAAGUGUAGAGGUGAAAUUCGUAGAUAUUUGUAGGAAUGCCGAUGGGGAAGCCAGCUUACUGGACAGAUACUGACGCUAAAGCGCGAAAGCGUGGGUAGCAAACAGGAUUAGAUACCCUGGUAGUCCACGCCGUAAACG
rnacentral:rRNA from 1 species